rnacentral:rRNA from 1 species
AGUGAACGCUGGCGGCAGGCCUAACACAUGCAAGUCGAGCGGCAGCGCGGGGGCAACCCUGGCGGCGAGCGGCGGACGGGUGAGGAAUACAUCGGAAUCUACCUUCUUGUGGGGGAUAACGUAGGGAAACUUACGCUAAUACCGCAUGAGACCUGAGGGUGAAAGCAGGGGACCGCAAGGCCUUGCGCGAGAAGAUGAGCCGAUGUCCGAUUAGCUAGUUGGUGAGGUAAAGGCUCACCAAGGCGACGAUCGGUAGCUGGUCUGAGAGGAUGAUCAGCCACACUGGAACUGAGACACGGUCCAGACUCCUACGGGAGGCAGCAGUGGGGAAUAUUGGACAAUGGGCGCAAGCCUGAUCCAGCCAUGCCGCGUGUGUGAAGAAGGCCUUCGGGUUGUAAAGCACUUUUGUUCGGGAAGAAAUCUUCCGACCUAAUACGUCGGGAGGAUGACGGUACCGAAAGAAUAAGCACCGGCUAACUUCGUGCCAGCCGCCGCCGUAAGAC